rnacentral:rRNA from 1 species
AACGAACGCUGGCGGCAUGCCUAACACAUGCAAGUCGAACGAGACCUUCGGGUCUAGUGGCGCACGGGUGCGUAACGCGUGGGAAUCUGCCCUCGGGUUCGGAAUAACAGUUAGAAAUGACUGCUAAUACCGGAUGAUGUCUUCGGACCAAAGAUUUAUCGCCCAGGGAUGAGCCCGCGUCGGAUUAGCUAGUUGGUAGGGUAAAAGCCUACCAAGGCGACGAUCCGUAGCUGGUCUGAGAGGAUGAUCAGCCACACUGGGACUGAGACACGGCCCAGACUCCUACGGGAGGCAGCAGUGGGGAAUAUUGGACAAUGGGCGAAAGCCUGAUCCAGCAAUGCCGCGUGAGUGAUGAAGGCCUUAGGGUUGUAAAGCUCUUUUACCCGGGAUGAUAAUGACAGUACCGGGAGAAUAAGCCCCGGCUAACUCCGUGCCAGCCGCCGCCGUAAAAC